GAUGAACGCUGGCGGCGUGCCUAAUACAUGCAAGUCGAGCGAACAGACGAGGAGCUUGCUCCUCUGACGCUAGCGGCGGACGGGUGAGUAACACGUGGAUAACCUACCUAUAAGACUGGGAUAACUUCGGGAAACCGGAGCUAAUACCGGAUAAUAUAUUGAACCGCAUGGUUCAAUAGUGAAAGACGGUUUUGCUGUCACUUAUAGAUGGAUCCGCGCCGCAUUAGCUAGUUGGUAAGGUAACGGCUUACCAAGGCAACGAUGCGUAGCCGACCUGAGAGGGUGAUCGGCCACACUGGAACUGAGGCACGGUCCAGACUCCUACGGGAGGCAGCAGUAGGGAAUCUUCCGCAAUGGGCGAAAGCUUGACGGAGCAACGCCGCGUGAGUGAUGAAGGUCUUCGGAUCGUAAAACUCUGUUAUUAGGGAAGAACAAAUGUGUAAGUAACUAUGCACGUCUUGACGGUACCUAAUCAGAAAGCCACGGCUAACUACGUG
rnacentral:rRNA from 1 species